GAUGAACGCUGGCGGCGUGCCUAAUACAUGCAAGUCGAGCGAACGGACGAGAAGCUUGUUUCUCUGAUGUUAGCGGCGGACGGGUGAGUAACAUGUGGAUAACCUACCUAUAAGACUGGGAUAACCUCGGGAAACCGUAGCUAAUACCGGAUAAUAUUCUGAACCGUAUGGUUCAAAAGUGAAAGACGGUCUUGCUGUCACUUAUAGAUGGAUCCGCGCUGCAUUAGCUAGUUGGUAAGGUAACGGCUUACCAAGGCAACGAUGCAUAGCCGACCUGAGAGGAGGAUCGGCCACACGGGAGCGGGGACGCAGUCCAGGCUCCUACGAGAAGCAGCAGAAGGGAAUCUUACGCAAUGGGCGAGAGCCUGACGGAGCAACGGCGCGUGAGAGAUAGAGGUCUUCGGAUCGUAAAACUCUGUUAUUAGGGAUAAACAUAUUUGUCAGUAACUGUGGACAUCGUGACGGUACCUAAUCAGAAAGCCACGGCUAACUACGUG
rnacentral:rRNA from 1 species